UAGGGAAUCUUCGGCAAUGGACGAAAGUCUGACCGAGCAACGCCGCGUGAGUGAAGAAGGUUUUCGGAUCGUAAAACUCUGUUGUUAGAGAAGAACAAGGACGUUAGUAACUGAACGUCCCCUGACGGUAUCUAACCAGAAAGCCACGGCUAACUACGUGCCAGCAGCCGCGGUAAUACGUAGGUGGCAAGCGUUGUCCGGAUUUAUUGGGCGUAAAGCGAGCGCAGGCGGUUUCUUAAGUAUGAUGUGAAAGCCCCCGGCUCAACCGGGGAGGGUCAUUGGAAGCUGGGAGACUAGAGUGCAGAAGAGGAGAGUGGAAUUCCAUGUGUAGCGGUAAAAUGCGUAGAUAUAUGGAGGAACACCAGUGGCGAAGGCGGCUCUCUGGUCUGUAACUGACGCUGAGGCUCGAAAGCGUGGGGAGCAAACAGG
rnacentral:rRNA from 1 species